rnacentral:rRNA from 1 species
UACGGAGGGGGGCUAGCGUUGUUCGGAAUUACUGGGCGUAAAGCGCACGUAGGCGGCUUUGUAAGUUAGAGGUGAAAGCCCGGGGCUCAACUCCGGAAUUGCCUUUAAGACUGCAUCGCUCGAGUUGUGGAGAGGUAAGUGGAAUUCCGAGUGUAGAGGUGAAAUUCGUAGAUAUUCGGAAGAACACCAGUGGCGAAGGCGACUUACUGGACACAUACUGACGCUGAGGUGCGAAAAGCGUGGGGGAGCAAACAGG